CGCCGGCGACACUUUACUCGCCGUCGUCUUCGGAAUCUGAAACAUCACCGGUUGUUUAUCCUUCCCAUCGCUAUGACUCCUCAAAAGCAAGUUCCGUAGCUUCCACCGAUUCGAUCCUGAACCUGCUGAACUACUCUUCUUUCGCUCAAUUCCAACCGAAUUAGGGUUCCAAACGCAGUAACUCCCUUCCGCUACGCCUUCUAGGUCGAUACUCUCGUCGGUUGAAGAUGAACACGAUGCCGUAGCUUCGCUGCUUUCUUCAAACAUCAGCGUUCGUAGCGGUAAACGACGUCGUGUUGUUGUUUCGUUCGGAACCGGCGAAACGGAAGAAACGACACCGUCAUCGUCGUCGUUUAGUAGAUUUUGAUCGAAAACUGGAUAAUACAAAGGUUUGAUCUGACCGUUGUAGAAAAUGUCAUCGGCGGAAACCACGGAGAAAUUCGUUGAAUCCCUCGAAACCACCGCAAACUCAAAUUCACUAUCCUCGUCUUUUUCGUUGUCGUUUUGAGUCUUCAAUUUGUUGUCGUCUUCCCAUGGUUGAUAAAGCGCGUCUUCGUCGGAAUGAGGAUCCCACCGAAGCUCAUCGAUGACUCUAGCGGCGAUUUCAGCGAGUGUUUCCGACGAGUAAC
rnacentral:lncRNA from 1 species